rnacentral:precursor_RNA from 1 species
UUCGUCCUAGUGUGGGACUCCUCAGCAGUGUGCAUCCACGACUCUGUUGGGGGUCGAACCCAGGACCCU